CCAUUACCACCCAAGCACCUUGCAUGGAGGGAGAAUGAGAUUGUCUGGUGCGUGUGUGUGUGCAUGUGUGUGUGUGUGUUGUCAUUGCCCACAGGCAUUUGUUAAGAGCAAACUGUGGGCCUAGAGCCCAAGCUGGCAGGCAGCACCUGACCUUGGCUGUUGGCUGCAUGACCUCAUCAGGUAGUUCUGCCUGGUUCUGCUCAAGAGGGUUUUGCCACCACAUCUCACUUGCAAAUAGUGUGUGUGUGUGUGUGUGUGUGAAAUAUCUUCUCAUCAAAACUACAUAAAAGCAUUCUCAAAAACAAUUCUGUGAUGAUUGCAUUCAGCUGACAGAGUUGAACAUUCCUUUUGAUAGAGCAGUUUGGAAACACUCUUUUUGUAGAAUCUGCAUGUGGAGAUUUGGACCGCUUGGAGACCUAUGGUAGUA
rnacentral:lncRNA from 1 species